rnacentral:lncRNA from 1 species
GAGUCACAGGCUUGAAUUUCAUUGUUUCUUUGUGGAGAUGCUGAAAUGGCAAUUCCAGAGAGAACAAAUGCUCACGGGUCUCUCCGAUGCUAACGUCAGGGAAUCGGGAAUCCUUAAAGUCCACCAGUCCCCAAAGCACCCAGGAGCUCUGCCUGCUCUUGGAGGUUUAAUCAACUCCCAGAGCACAAGGGACCACAUUCUCCUAACCCAGCUCAUUCUCAUGAGCCUUGCCUUUCUUAGAGGCAAAGAAUGCAUUCUUUCCCAGUUACAAAGUAACAGACGUGCAGCACAUAAAAACUGGAAAACUUGAAAAGGCACAAAAA